rnacentral:rRNA from 1 species
AUUGAACGCUGGCGGCAGGCCUAACACAUGCAAGUCGAACGAGUGGCGGACGGGUGAGUAAUGUCUGGGAAACUGCCUGAUGGAGGGGGAUAACUACUGGAAACGGUAGCUAAUACCGCAUACCAUCAGAUGUGCCCAUAUGGGAUUAGCGUGUUGGUGGGGUAACGGCUCACCAAGGCGACGAUCCCUAGCUGGUCUGAGAGGAUGACCAGUCACACUGGAACUGAGACACGGUCCAGACGCCUACGGGAGGCAGCAGUGGGGAAUAUUGCACAAUGGGCGAAAGCCUGAUGCAGCCAUGCCGCGUGUAUGAAGAAGGCCUUCGGGUUGUAAAGUACUGUCAGCGGGGAGGCGUUACCCGCAGAAGAAGCCCCGGCUAACUCCGUGCCAGCAGCCGCGGUAAUAC